rnacentral:rRNA from 1 species
UUAGACGGUAGGGUAUUGGCCUACCGUGGCUAUGACGGGUAACGGGGAAUUAGGGUUCGAUUCCGGAGAGGGAGCCUGAGAAACGGCUACCACAUCUAAGGAAGGCAGCAGGCGCGCAAAUUACCCAAUCCUAAUACAGGGAGGUAGUGACAAGAAAUAACAAUACAGAGCCUUACGGUUUUGUAAUUGGAAUGAGUUAAGUAUAAACCCCUUAACAAGUAUCAAUUGGAGGGCAAGUCUGGUGCCAGCAGCCGCGGUAAUUCCAGCUCCAAUAGCGUAUAUUAAAGUUGUUGCAGUUAAAAAGCUCGUAGUUAAUUUUCUGUUAAUUUUUAUAUACAAUGCUACGGUAUUUAUAUAAUAUUAACAUAAUUCAUAUUACUUUUUAGUAUAUGAAACUUUACUUUGAGAAAAUUAGAGUGCUUAAAGCAGGCUAUUGCCUUGAAUACUCCAGCAUGGAAUAAUAUUAAGGAUUUUUAUUCUUCUUAUUGGUUCUAGAAUAAAAAUAAUGAUUAAUAGGGACAGUUGGGGGCAUUUGUAUUUAACAGUCA